rnacentral:lncRNA from 1 species
GAGACGGAGUCUCGCUGUGUCGCCCAGGCUGGAGCGCAGUGGCACGAUCUCAGCUCACUGCAACCUCCGCCUCCUGGGAUCAAGUGAUUCUCCUGCCUCAGCCUCCUGAGUAGCUGGGAUUACAGGGGCCCACCACCAUGCCCAGCUAAUUUUUGUAUUUUUAGUAGAGACGGGGUUUUGUCAUGUUGGCCAAGCUGGUCUCGAACUGCUGACCUCAAGUGAUCCACCCGCCUCAGCCUCCCAGAACGCUGGGAUUACAGGUGUUGUGGCGGGCACCUGCAGUACCAGCUACUCGGGAGGCUGAGGCAGCAGAAUGGCGUGAACCCGGGAAGCGGAGUUUCCAGUGAGCCGAGAUUGCGCCACUGCACUCCAGCCUGUGUGACAGGCUUAUACCAUAUUCAAAAAUUAACUCAAAAUGGAUCCAAGAGCUAAAUGUAAAACUGAAAACUAUAAAACUUAGAAUAAAGCAUAGGGAGAAAGUUCUGUGACACUGCAUUUUGCAAUGAUUUCUUGGAUAUAACACCAAAAGCAUAGGCAACAAAAGAAAAAAAAUAGGUGAAUUGGACUUCGUCAAAUGUUAAAACUUUUAUUCCUCACAUGACACUAUAUACAGUGAACAGACAACAGAGAGGAGUCAGGGUGGCCAAGUAGACACAGAGUCAGGAAGAGCUUCCACCACCAAGAGACCAGGCCAUCAAGAAGACCAGCACACUCUGAGCAGAUCUUUGGAAGGAAGGCACUGAGAGUGAACAGAAGGAGGAUGCGGAUCCUGGGCUGAAGGAGGAGAAAGCUGGGAACCUUACAGGGAGCUCCCCUAGCACCAUGACUCAUUCUGACCCCAAAUGCUCCUGGGGAAAGGAUGAGUUAAACAGGCAUGGAGUAGCCUGUUCUUGUCAUGGACCUCUAGAAUCCUAGCUGAAGGAGGCUCCAUGACCCCUACAGACAUUUGAGGUUGCAAAGACAGCUGCUUGGGAAGUUGGCAGAAACAGGACUCCAGUCUGCACGGAGCCCAGAAGGCCUGGUGUGGGAAUGGCUGCAGUGGAGCAUGGCCAGGUAUGUCCAUCUCCCAAAGCUCACCACACACCUCUAGGUAGCUUUGGUCUUUGCUGACUAUUGGACCUAGACAGAACAGAACUAUCUUGCCCAUGGCACAGGGCUUGUCAGAUUUGAGCGCCCCCCCCAACCCCCAUCCCUGGUUGCCUGUUCCACAGUCCCUGCCUGGCCACAUCCAAUUGCAAUGGACGCUGAUGCCCAACCGCAGCACUUCCCGACAGCCACCACUAUAGCUCCUUUGCUGGCAAGCCCCAGGUAACCACCAGAGAGCACCUGCACAUGGGCCUCCACCAGCAUCCACCCACGCACAGCUUCCCCGCACUGUUUUGCCAGGACACCGUCACCCACAGCCUCCCCCGACGGCUUUUCCAAUGUAUAUGCAGGCCUUACCACCCUACUGUCACCACCCCAACCAAGCACUUUUGCCGGCCCCACCAUCAGAGUGUUGUUGCCCAGCAGACCGGGAACACCUUGGCCCCACCAGUGCAAUGGGUGCUUAACCUCGAGGAGACAGAGAACAAAGUCAUGUGCCUAGUCCUAACACCCCAGGGUUAUAGCAUGCAUGCCAGGAGUGCUGAGCUGAGCCUUGGUACCCAGAAAUCAUCAAGAAACUAUGCCAGUCGACUAAACUCAACUUAUAUCAAGGUCAAACCCUUGGGGCAUCCAAGAAUAUAAAAGCAAAAAGCCUCAUUCAAAGG